GUGCUGUUCCUCCUGCCCCCAAGAAGGGGCGGCAAACGCUGCACAGUGAAAUGAAAUCCAAAGCCCCCACCCCCGGCCCCUGGGAUAAACCACUAAGGGCCUUGCUGGGCAAACACAAUUAGCAUUGAGCAAAGUACACAGACGUCUUCCACCGCUAUCAGUAUUGUUGAUCUCUGAAGACACGAGCUUGUUUCUGAAGACAGCAUCUUCAGCUGGUCAGUGGGAUUGCCUUCUGACAGUGUCGCCAGACUUGCAGUUCAGAGGUGGUGACAGAAAUGACUCUCGGUGGCCCCAUCUCUCAGAUGCAGGAGGAUUCUUCGAGAAGGUGCUGGUGCCUUCAGUCUUCAAGGAGCUGGCCUCAGAGUUGCAGCAAGCAGGCUCCUUUAAGACAGAUCUGUGCUCCUGUACCACUUCUUCUUCUUUUUCAUUUAAAGACUUUUUGGUAUGGACCACGUUUAAAGUCUUCUUUUCUCUGGUUUUUGGCCGUGAGGCAUGUGGGAUCUGAGCUCCCCGACCAGGGAUCAGCCCUGCACCCUCUGCACUGGAAGGAGAAACCUUCACCACUGGACCUCCAGGCAAGUCCUCCCUAAGGUACUUCGAUCUCAACUUCAAGUCCUAGCUCAAAUUUCACCUCUCUCGUGAUACCUUUUUUUCCAUCUUUCAUAGAUUCAAAUCCUUCACUCACCUGUGCAUCUCUACUACCGUAUUCAGAUCUCAAAUACAGUCUCAUAUAAUAAUAGAUACUCUUAAUAUAAUCAUAUAAUAUGCUAUUUACUCUCAUUUAUAGUAAUUAUUUACCUUUCUGUGUAAUAAUGAUUGUGAGGUCUUCAAAUAUUUGUGUUCCCAGCACUGUGCCUGAAACAUAGCAGCUGCAUAAUAUACUAACAAACUUCAGGUGGGAGGAGGGACUUUGGCUAGCUUUUUCAACUUGGUUAUUAAUUUAAAAAAUUUAUAUUUGCUUCCAGUUUUAUUGAGAUAUGAUUGACAUAAAACUACAAGUUUAAGGUAUAUAGCAUAAUGAUUUGAUUUGGAUACAUCAUGAAAUGAUGACCACUGUAAGUUUAGUCAACACCAUCAUAUCACAAUUUAUAUGAGAUUUAACAAAAUCUGCAUGCAUCUAACAAAAUUAAGGAAACAGAAAAGAUUUUUUUCUUUGUGAUGAGACCUCAGGAUUUACUCUUGUGAUAGCUUUCUUGUGUAACGUACAAUCGUGUUACUAUAUUUAUCAUGUUGUACCUUACAUUUCUACUACUUAUGUGUUUUAUACCUGGAAGUUUGCACAUUUCAACUGCGUUUACCCAAUUCUACCCCCUUGGAUAACCACAAAUUUUAUCUCUUUCGCUAUGAGUGAGUUUGUUUGAUUUUAAAGUAUAAUUGAACCACAACACUCUGUUAGUUCUUGCUACAUGACAUAGUGAUUCAAUAUUUCUGCACAUUACAAAAUGUUCACCAUGAUAAUCUAGUUACCAUCUGUCACCACAGGAAGAUAUUACAUAAUUAUUGAUUAUAUUCCCCCACACCGUUCAUCUCACACCCUGACUCAUUCAUUUCACAACUGGAGGUGUGCAUCUCUUCACACCUCAGCUAUUU
rnacentral:lncRNA from 1 species